CUACUGACGUACGUCAAACGUGACCGACUGAAAGGGAACUGAUUCAUUCAUGUACGACUGACAAAUAUGCAUCACAUUAAGUUUAUUAGUUUGUGUUAAAACAAUUCAAAUGGAUGGAAAUUUGAUAUGUAAUUUUAGAUUUUAUAGCCAGGUUGAUACGUAAAUUAUUUACAAUAUUAAUUUUACAAUAUUAAAAGUAAUAUUUAAUAUUUUAGAUAUUUAAGAUUCAAAUAACUUUUCAUCCUCUAGUUCUAUUAAAAAAACUAAAUACUUGUCUGAUCCUGUAAUGAAACAUGUAGUCAAGUCUAUACAGCCAACAUUGCUCUGGAUAAGAACUCAAAAUCAAAACUACACUGUCAAAAUGAACAAAAUGUAGAUAACAAGCGAGUAUAUUACAAAUUCAACUGUCAAACCGAGUUUUUGCCUUACCCCAAAUCACUGUCGUAAACAUAAUAAUCAGCCUAUUUGACAGCUGUUGGGAUGGAUUUUGCGUGAAAAUGCAUACUUUCAUGUUUAUGUCUAUCUAUAGAUAAAUGAAAGAAGUUCAGGCUACUAUAUGCAGGGGAAGGUGUCAUAAUAGUUUAGAAGAAGCAGUACAUUUGCUGCAUUGACAAAGUUCAGAAAACAAUCUUUAUGCAGGAAAUAACGGCACUCAUAUUCAGCCAUUUUGUGUGAACUCGGGGUACAUCGGUCAACCCGACCUCAGCGAGAUGCAUCAUUUUGAGUCAAUUCCAAGAUGUCGGCGUGUCCUCCAAUGAAUAUGAACACCUCUCUGGAGG